rnacentral:lncRNA from 1 species
GGUAACAAUUAUUAAAAAAAACAUUUAGGAUGAUAAACCUUCGUAUUAAUAGUUAAUUUACUUUUUAUCUAAUAAACUUUUUAUUUAUAUAGUCAUUUUAAAUUGUUUUUUUGAUGUCGCAAAGGUACUGAGAAACACAAAAAGCUGACAAGAAUGAAGUUUGUAGCAAUUGUUGCUGUUAUUCUUGUGCUCUUUGUGACGCCAAACUCUUGCAAAUCAAUAUCGGGACUUAAAAGAAAUAAAGUCAAAGAAAUGAAAAUCAAUCACCCGUAUUACAAUGACCCAGCUGCCCCAAUGCGAUCAGUAUACGGCCAAACUGUCGAAGAAACAAGUAAAGAAUUAAAUAAAGCAAUCGACGACGCAGUAACAGAAGCAAGUAAAAAUGUCAUGUCAGGU